UUUCUUUUUUCGUCUGCUUAUCAAACAUGUGCUCUGACAUGUUGAAAGGUUCUUGUGCAAGUCUUGUGCGGGAGAUCGUUUCUGGUUUUUCGUUAUCAUAGUUACUUGUACGAAACUUGGAUAACAUAAUUUUUCUCCAUAUUAUUAAUUUUGUCAGCUAGGAUGGGGAAAUCCAAAUCGAACCGACAUAAUAAGCAAGUUCGUGAUAAUCCCACUGGACUCGCUAAUAAAUCUGACUCUGAAGAAAUUGUGAUGGAUUGUGCUGUCAAGAGUCCUUAUACUGGAACUGCCCUCUCGUCAGAAACCCUAAAGUCUUUUUCAAGACAGUUACAAAGUUCAUCAGCAGAAGAGCGGGACUGUGCUUGCCAUGCAUUAGCAGGAUUGAUAAGAAAUAAUGAGGAUUCAUGUGCAGCAUUACAAGAAGGACUAAUAAAAGUUCUUGGUCCUCUAUUGCUGGAUACAAGUGCCUCUGUUUGUCAUUCUACUGCUUCAGCACUUCAUACGAUAAUUUCAAAAGGAGGAGAUCAAGCGAUCAAGCUUGCCAUUGAACACGACAUUUUAACACCACUGAUUGCUUUAUUAAAGAGAAUCCCACCACAGUGGAAACCUCAUAAAGCACCUGGCAACAAAAUUGAUACUUCUACAGCCACCUUUCUAGAAACAGUUGCAACAUUAAAUCUUCUCUCCGAAAGCAGCACUCUAGCUGUUGACCGGAUACAUCGCGAAAACAUAGUUUCCAUGUUAAUUUCGUAUUUGGACGUAAAUGCGUAUGGCUUAGAUGUUGUUUCGUCGGUUGUCCAGUUCCUCAGCACAGUAACUGAAGAACAGGGUGAUACUGACUACACAGAAGUUUUGAAAAAAGAGAUUAUUUCGAAAUUCCUCAAUGUGAAAGAAUCUAGCCCUUUAUUGAAAACUCUAUCACUUAUGAUACUUCUUAACUUGAACCAUCAGCAGUUGAAUUCAGAAUUGGGACAGUCAACUCAAGAUAUUAUAAAUAUCCUGACUUCUUCUCUUUGCCUUGAUCAAAGGAAGGCAGCGUCUUCAGUGGUCGAUCAUUUACCGACAACUCAAGAUGAAAACGGUGGGGAUGCAAUGGAAGAAGAUUCUUUGGCCUCUAAAUUAUACGAUUCUGUCGAAGCUGCCGAAGAAUUAAUCUCUGCUCAAAUAAAAUCUCUGGAAAUAUUAACCAAUAUUUGUUGUUCUGGAGACGAUGGCGACUCGGAUGAAUUCUACGAAGAUGAAUCCAUUAGCGAUGAAUCACUGGGUAAUGAAGGAUUUCAAGAAAGCCUUAUAGACUUGAAUCCCGAGUUGAAGAAAGCUUUCAUCGAUGCGCGACUAUUUCAACUGGUUAUUGAAAAAGCAAAAUUACCGGCAACGAAUAUAAUUGAAGCUUUAAAUCAGCACCCAACAGGAAAAUCUCUUAUUAAACGUUACGAAGCGCUCCAAUGUAUGGGGUUCUUGUGUUUAAGUAACAUGGUGAUGGUUUUCGAAGUUGACGAUAUUGGUGGCAGCAAGGAUUUAUUCGACAUUUGGUGUGGCUUAGCAGUCGUGGCUUUCCAGGGUAGUAAGUCGGAACAGAUGCUGGGAAGUGCAACUGCUUCUAUGCGUGCCAUAAUUCGAAAAUUGUCGUAUCAUAAAGACAUAGUCAACCUUUUGAAGUUAGAAGACAUCACUCUCCUCUGUCAGAGAGUUGUAGACUGUUCUCAUCCUCAGUCAAAAGUGAAUUUGCUUCAGAUACUCGGCACACUUGGCUCAAUGGCAGCUGGAGUUGAACCACCCAUGUUGGAACCUCGAUCUUCGAUUGUUCGCGGAAUCGGUCAAAUCCUUCUCGACACUGCUUGCCUUUCUCCUGACUUGUGGAUUACAGCUGAAGCUAUGGAUGCCUUAUUUGAUGUUUUCAAGGAGGAUCACACAGACCCAAUUGUUGGAGAUGUUCAACUGGUGGAGCGUUUAAGAACAUUGGCACCCACUUUCAAGCAUCGUGUCCAUUCACAACGUCGUAGCCUACCGGCGGAUCACCUCCCAGUUGUUAUGACUGCUAGAGACAAUCUACUCCGCUUCAUCAAGUAUAAGACAAAGCAACGAUCGUUAGCUAAUCGAUAAUGUAAUAGUUUUAUAGCCUACAACAACCCCUUGAGAGCUUCUAUUGAACUGAGAACAUCAGCAAUGAAAGGUCUUUCUUUGGGAUCAACAACAAGCAAAGUGGAAAUUAAGUCGUUUACCGACGAAUUGACUCCUGGGGAAGUGGAAUUUGGAAAAUGAUUCAUUCCACUGGAGGCAGCCAAAGCAACGCUAUCUCCUCGUUCAAAUACCUCAUCAAAAGGCGAUUUAUAGUAGCAGAGGGCAUAUAGCAGGCACCCCAAAGACUAAAAAAAAGUCACAAUUUAUGGAAAAAACUUAACUUUUAAAAUAAUAACAAUUUAAAAUACCCAGAUAUCAGUACGCUCAUCGAUGGUAGACGGACUUUGGAUGUUAAAAAGUUCUGGUGCGCGAUAAGUCAUGGAACAACGUUCUGCUGCAUCAUCUUGGAGUCUCUGAGCGGCGUUGUAGCUGGUUAUCUCCACGGUAGCAGGAGCAGCAGAACCUAACAAGGUCAUAGAUGGAAGACGGGCUCACGGAAAGACGGAGAAGCCGGACAAGCCAAGCAAACCAAAAAAAAAAAAGAAAAGAAAAAAGCAUUGAGGCAUACAGAAUUCAGAUCCUGGUUGAGGUUUAUCCCACAACUAACUUUAUCAAAGAAUUUGGUACAUUAAAUGUCUGAUCGUCGACUAAAACGAUGUCAAAAUGUUCCGUGUAGUUCGCCAAGGACUGUUCAAUCUGGGAUGUAUUAAAGCAACAGAUUAUAUAUGAUUUAUUCCUAAAAAUGUAAAUUACAGUAUUAUCAACCUUUUCAUUAAGAAAUCCAAUUGUCAAUAGGGUAUUGGCGGCAGCACCACAAGACAUGUGAAGAUCUCCUAAUGAAUCCCCCAAAAGAAUCAUAUUUUUGCAAUGUGAUAAAUUCUCAAAGUAACCGUCCGAAAGACGCGAUGAGAUAACAUCUUUGUUGUAUGGAUGAACAAACUGGCGACUUGAAACCGCAUCAGUAAUUUCAUCGUCAAUUUGAUAAUAUUUAACAUGAUUUGCUAUAACUUUGAGAUUGUUUUUCAGAAGACUAUGCUUGCUUAACACUUCGAGAAUUAUAUUUCCAAGCCCAGCAGAUAUAAUCAGUACAGGUAUGUUGGCUAUAUUCAGAUCUUCAAAAAAACUUUCAACACCUUCCCUAUAAUUGAAAAAAUAAAAAUGUAAACAAAAAUCAGA